GGCAGAAUGGCCGAGUGGUCUAUGGCGACGGUCUCAAGAGCAACGCUCCUAAACUGCGAAAAGCGGUUUUCCGUUCACGAAAGUGGCCGGGGUUCGAAUCCCCGUUCUGUCA
rnacentral:tRNA from 1 species